rnacentral:rRNA from 1 species
GAUGAACGCUGGCGGCGUGCUUAACACAUGCAAGUCGAACGCUGAAGCUUGGUGCUUGCACUGGGUGGAUGAGUGGCGAACGGGUGAGUAAUACGUGAGUAACCUGCCUUUGAGUCUGGGAUCAGUUUGGGAAACUGGGUCUAAUACUGGAUAUGACAUGGCACUGCAUGGUGGUGUGUUGAAAGGGGUUUUUGGGGUUUGGAUUGGCUCGCUGCGUAUCGGCUUGUUGGGGAGGUAAUGGCAUACCUUGGCGAGGACGGAUAGCCCACCCGAGAGCGUGACCAGCCACACGGGGCCUGCGACAGGCACCAGAAUGCUACCGGCGGCAGCAGUGGGGAACAUGACAGAACGACCGGGCGCCUGAUACGACGACCCCGCGUGCGGGAUAACCGCCUACGGGGUAUAAACCUCUUUCAGAACGACAGAGGCGAGAGUGACGGUACGUACAGAAAAAGCGACGGCUAACUACGUG